UCUCCGUAGGUGAACCUGCGGAGGGAUCAUUACAGAGUUCAUGCCCUACCGGGUAGAUCUCCCACCCUAUGUUAUUAUUACUUUGUUGCUUUGGCGGGCCGUUAGGCUCCCGCCCGACUACCGGCCCCGGCUGGUAAGCGCCCGCCAGAGGACCCAAAACCCUGAAUAUUAGUGUCGUCUGAGUACUAUAUAAUAGUUAAAACUUUCAACAACGGAUCUCUUGGUUCUG
rnacentral:misc_RNA from 1 species